AUUGAACGCUGGCGGCAGGCCUAACACAUGCAAGUCGAGCGAGCGGCGGACGGGUGAGUAAUGUAUGGGGACUGCCCGAUAGAGGGGGAUAACUACUGGAAACGGUGGCUAAUACCGCAUACUGUCGGUUAAACCCUAUGGGAUUAGCUGGUUGGUAAGGUAAUGGCUUACAUAGGCGACGAUCCCUAGCCGGUCUGAGAGGAUGAUCAGCCACACUUGGACUGAGACACGGCCCAGACUCCUACGGGGGCAGCAGUGGGGAAUAUUGCACAAGGGGCGAAAGCCUGAUGCAGCCAUGCCGGGUGUAUGAAGAAGGCCCUAGGGUUGUAAAGUACUUUCAGUCGGGAGGCGUUACCGACAGAGGAAGCACCGGCUAACUCCGUGCCAGCAGCCGCGGUAAUUC
rnacentral:rRNA from 1 species